GAUGAAGAACGUAGCAAAAUGCGAUAAGUAAUGUGAAUUGCAGAAUUCAGUGAAUCAUCGAAUCUUUGAACGCACAUUGCGCCCGUCAGUAUUCUGGCGGGCAUGCCUGUUCGAGCGUCAUUACGCCCCUCAAGUCCCCUGUGGACUUGGUGUUGGGGAUCGGCGAGGCUGGUUUUCCAGCACAGCCGUCCCUUAAAUUAAUUGGCGGUCUCGCCGUGGCCCUCCUCUGCGCAGUAGUAAAACACUCGCAACAGGAGCCCGGCGCGGUCCACUGCCGUAAAACCCCCCAACUUUUUAUAGUUGACCUCGAAUCGGGUAGGACUACCCGCUGAACUUAAGCAUAUCAAUAAGCGGAGGA
rnacentral:misc_RNA from 1 species